rnacentral:lncRNA from 1 species
UCAAAUUUUUUUCUUUCUCUCUGAAUUGCAGUGAGCUCUUCCCAAGAACAACCUCAUUUGCUGGAAGAUGUGGUUUUCGUAAGAGUCUGAAACUACUGCACUAUCCUGUCCUGCUAUUUGGUCAUACUUCUCUGGUGACAUUCUGGACUUGGCACAAUAGACGUGCCCUCACAUGCAGAAUGGGGCUUCAUGCUAGUGUGAGAAUUUCUGCCUGGAUGCCCUGACCACUCCAUAAAUCUAAAUAAAGCCUCACAAUGUUCCAAAUACUAUGACAAGUGGAGGAUACAGAGGAUAGUGAGUAGGAGCAUAAAAUCUGAAGCAGACCUGACUACAUCUGAAUCCUGGUACUACUAAUGGUGGGAUGCAGACAGAUCGGUGAGGCAUGUUGCAAAACACCAGCAAGAGAUCCAGGGCUCACUCCUGGGGCUGACUCUGAUUAGACCCUUGCUGACCACAGUUCAAGUAGAUGAAAAGGCAUCCGGUUUGGACUUAACUGAGGGCAAUGUGAAGGUGAGCAUCCAGUUAUGUCCCAUGUCCUUUGAACAACUGUCAUUGCACAGACAAACCAUUUUGGGGACUGUUUAUGCUUACUUGAAGUAUUAGUAGUAAACUCACUGCGUUACCCCCAGUGAUAGUCACUGAAGGCAUUUAAAAAAUCUGCAAAAACAAAAAUCAAACUCAUAAUAAAAAUAAACCCCACAACAUCCUCAAUAUAUUGAUUAAACUUUCUAUAUGACUAUAGACAUGGAGGAGAAGAAAUCAACUCAGAGAGAGAAAUAGGCGCUAAUAAACUGCUUUCCCAGCAGUGACAAUAGUUGUGCCUUAUCAUGUGAAUAGCAAUAUACUAAAGUUGAAC